rnacentral:rRNA from 1 species
GACGAACGCUGGCGGCGUGCUUAACACAUGCAAGUCGAACGGAAAGGCCCUGCUUGCAGGGUACUCGAGUGGCGAACGGGUGAGUAACACGUGGGUGAUCUGCCCUGCACUUCGGGAUAAGCCUGGGAAACUGGGUCUAAUACCGGAUAGGAGCCAUUUUUAGUGUGAUGGUUGGAAAGUUUUUUCGGUGUAGGAUGAGCUCGCGGCCUAUCAGCUUGUUGGUGGGGUAAUGGCCUACCAAGGCGGCGACGGGUAGCCGGCCUGAGAGGGUGGACGGCCACAUUGGGACUGAGAUACGGCCCAGACUCCUACGGGAGGCAACAGUGGGGAAUAUUGCACAAUGGGCGCAAGCCUGAUGCAGCGACGCCGCGUGGGGGAUGACGGCCUUCGGGUUGUAAACUCCUUUCGCUAGGGACGAAGCUUUUGUGACGGUACCUAGAUAAGAAGCACCGGCUAACUACGU